rnacentral:sRNA from 16 species
UGAGAUCGGCGCGUGCUUGUCAAUUCCUAGCUGAACAAGGUUAUGAGGUUAUCAAUGUUCAGGGUGGCAUGUUAGCCUUUGAAGAACUUUAAACAGUAGAUUUUCUCCUACUCGGUAUGGACUGGGUAGGAGAGUUUUAU